GGUGAACGCUGGCGGCGUGGAUUAGGCAUGCAAGUCGAAUGGGUUUAGACCCAUGGCAGACGAGGUAGUAACACGUAGGUUACGUACCCUAAAGUCGAGGAUAACCUGGAGAAAUCCAGAAUAAUACUCGAUAGUCCCUUCGGGGUAAAGAUUUAUCGCUUUAGGAACGGCCUGCGGGAUAUCAGCUUGUUGGUAGUGUAAAGGACUACCAAGGCUAAGACGUCUAGGGGAGGUGAGAGCCUGACCCCCACCGAUGGAACUGAGACACGGUCCAUACUCCUACGGGAGGCCGCAGUCGAGAAUCUUCCGCAAUGGACGAAAGUCUGACGGAGCGACGCCGCGUGAUUGAUGACGCACUUCGGUGUGUAAAGAUCUUUUAUAUGGGAAGAAGUUUAUUGACGGUACCAUAUGAAUAAGGGGCUCCUAAACUCG
rnacentral:rRNA from 1 species